ACUCGAAUUCGCGUAACUCGAGUGUCGCGUAUCUCGGGGAAACACUGUAUUCAAAUAUUGUUUGUCAACAUUUUUCUUAAAUAAUCCAAUUAAUGUUCAACCUUAGAAAACAACAAAUCGUUAUUUUGAACUCCUCCAUGAGCUGAGAAACACCAUCGUGAUGUUCAAAUCGUGAUUAAUUAGUUUAACUAACAAACGAUAGAAAAAAAAAACAACAAAAAUUUUAAGAUUAUUAGCCCAAUGGCUAGUUUGCAGGAAAUUCCCUGCUCCUAGAAGCUGUGUCUAGCCUCAGUUAUUGUUGAUAUUGUUGUACAUCAGUCACAGCUAUAUUUAUUUAUAUAUUUAUUUAUUUAUAUUAUUUUAUUUAUUUUUUAUUUUUUUAUUUUACCUUCUUCUCAGACCGGUUUCAGUUGUUCUCUGACGCUGUGACUUUUUCGGAUGUUAGUUAUGUCCCUCGCCAGUAUAAGGUUUCGACUUAGAGGUUCCGGAAGCACUUCAAUCUUCUCCAUCGAGGAUGCUGCUGAGCUUUCGGCGGGCUCCACGAGGCCCAGCAUUCCACUAAUCGUACCGUACCGUGCACUCAUGUUGAUGACGAUUGUCCCGCCCUGCGAUUGUCACUGCCCGUGUGCCCUUGGCACAUUGCCCCAAUCGUACACCGAACUACGCCGAACUCUUCGCAAACACCGUUGCCGCGAGCGUGCAAGAUGUCGGACAAAACGGACGCAGUUCUUCUCACCUGCACGGAAAAAUGGUAUCUGAGCGCACAAAACCUCCGUUGUCUAUCUGAUGGAGGUCCGCGACCAAGGUUUCGAUACGAUCCCCCUAGCGCAAGGGGAAGCAUGUUAUCGCGUCCACACUCAUUUAGCACCGCGCUGGAGAUGUGGUGAGCUAGGACAUCUGUUCUCACAUACUAUUGUAACUGAGCGUUUAAAAUACGUAGGCUUCUGAUAUCUUUAUUUUAUCGUACCAUACGAUGAUAACGUGGCACCAGGUCCAAAGCAUACUCUUCCUCACACAAUGAUAGCGCCGGACACUUGGUACGCAAGCGGGUUGCAGUUGCUGUUUAAAGUCUAGGUUUAAUUAAUGACUAACAAGCCGAGAGCACUGCACUACUCUCCGAACGGUGAGCUGAAAGGUAAACUCGUGUGAAAUUGGUGGGUAAUUGGCAUUGUUUCAUGUAGGUGAUAGGGUUAAAGCCGGAGGUACGCUGUUAAACGGGCUAAUUGAUUCGUCACUCUGUGCCCUGUGCUGCUGCUGUUGCUGCUAUUUGAUAAGAAGAGACGGACCAGUCAGCUGACAGCAACUUUCAGCUACUGCUCAAUAGAUGGCGCUAGUAUAAAUCACGCACGCUUCUUUUCCCGCAGCCUGUUUGGCUCGAGAUAAAGAUGUUUGUAUGUUUGCUCACGGGUAGCUUAAUGUAUAAUCAAUUUGAACGCAAAUUGAAUCGUGCUUGCCUGCAAUAGAUAAUGCGGGGAAGUACGCUUUUGCUCACUCUCGUGGUAAGAUAAAGUAAAGUCUUUGGAUAAUUAUAGCUACACAAUUAGCUCUGUGAGGGCAUUGCUUUGAUAGUGACUUUUUUUUUCUUGUGUGAUGCUGUGCUAUUAGUAUACUGACUCAUUUUGUGUUGGUCUGGUUGGUGAAUCUCCUUAACCCCUCCAUAGUCGGCUCCAACUUCUCCGGAACAACUACGGCGUUUCCAAGGAGGGAUGUUUCCAAAGAACAAUCGAGACAAGAAACACACUCCCUCUCAGAUCCCCUAUUAAGACGCUAUUAAACCCGAAUAAAUCUUGUCCUGCAAACCAAUUUUCUUUGCAUGCAGAAACAAAUUCUCACUUAAUUAUUCAUUAAAAGGAUUAGGACGCCCGCCGUGCGUUUGGGUGUUUGGUUUCUCUGAAGGAUGAUAAACUUUCUCUCGGACGCCCUUUUCUGCAGCUGAACCGGACAGAAUGGGCUGAAUGGGCGCAGUGUGUGAGGUUAUGUUAUAUCUGUUGUUUUUUUGGAAAGUAAACACACACGGGACCUGCUAGGUGCUAGAAAGGUGGGCCGUAGUGAUUUGGAUUAGAUAUUCCUAAUGAGAUAUAGCUGGCGGAGUGUGUGGAGUGUGCGUAUCCCCCUGUGCACGAGCACACUUAUCGAUUCCGGUCACAAUUCUGUGUGUCUAAUUUUCGGACCGUCCUGCAAAGAUGAUCGAGAAAAGGGUUAGUUUAUUGUGUCCGUAUUGUGUGUAUGUGUGUCUGCGAAGGUGAUUAAAAGCCAUUGGGCCGUAAAUGAAGCGGCGUGUGCGUUUGUCUAGAAGGAACCGUUCCCUAGCCGUUUUAACAAAUGGCCCUGUAAUGAGCUGGUAGCUGGACAGAAGGGACAGUGAAUUGUUUUAGUAUGCCAAUGGUGUUGAGCAUUUGAAGGGUUUUGGGGUUGGCAAGUGUAAGUGUUUGACAAGGCGAGAUUUAAUAAAAUUCAUUAGAAUCUGGCUUAAGGUCUCGAGAGACACAUGGGCCCGAAUAUUAAGCAUAAUAAGGAGGAAAUCGCUCCUACCGAGGAGUUAAUAGACAGCGAACUCCAUCAGGCUAAGAGGUUAUGGUUCGUGUUGAGUAUCCGCUAGUGUCCCUUUAUUUGUUAAACGUUAAAUUCGAUUGAAAAUAACAAUUCACAUCAAUGCGUGCAGAAUUCUUUUUCUUCAAUUCGCUUUCGCAGUUCCAACAAAAAAAAAAAAACAAAA